rnacentral:rRNA from 1 species
UACGGGGGGGGCAAGCGUUGUUCGGAAUUACUGGGCGUAAAGGGCGCGUAGGCGGCUUGCUAAGUCGGAUGUGAAAUCCCUCGGCUCAACCGAGGAACUGCAUCCGAUACUGGCGGGCUUGAAUCCGGGAGAGGGAUGUGGAAUUCCAGGUGUAGCGGUGAAAUGCGUAGAUAUCUGGAGGAACACCUGUGGUGUAGACAGCUUACUGGACCAUUUCUGACACUGAGACACGAAAGCGUGGGUAGCAAACAGG